rnacentral:rRNA from 1 species
UAGGGAAUCUUCCACAAUGGACGCAAGUCUGAUGGAGCAACGACGCGUGAGUGAAGAAGGUUUUCGGAUCGUAAAGCUCUGUUGUUGGUGAAGAAGGAUAGAGGCAGUAACUGGUCUUUAUUUGACGGUAAUCAACCAGAAAGUCACGGCUAACUACGUGCCAGCAGCCGCGGUAAUACGUAGGUGGCAAGCGUUGUCCGGAUUUAUUGGGCGUAAAGCGAGCGCAGGCGGAAUGAUAAGUCUGAUGUGAAAGCCCACGGCUCAACCGUGGAACGGAAUCGGAAACUGUCAUUCUUGAGUGCAGAAGAGGAGAGUGGAAUUCCAUGUGUAGCGGUGGAAUGCGUAGAUAUAUGGAAGAACACCAGUGGCGAAGGCGGCUCUCUGGUCUGCAACUGACGCUGAGGCUCGAAAGCAUGGGUAGCGAACAGG